AUGUCUACCUGUCUGUGGUUGAUUCUUCAUGUCUACCUGUCUGUAGUUGAUUCUUCAUGUCUACCUGUCUGUGGUUGGUUCUUCAUGUCUACCUGUCUGUGGUUGGUUCUUCAUGUCUACCUGUCUGUGGUUGAUUCUUCAUGUCUACCUGUCUGUCAUUGGUUCUUCAUGUCUACCUGUCUGUAGUUUUCAUACACUUUCUUGUGGUUCAAUGUUCAUUCUGCUAGUUUACUAGAGCUGUCAAAAAGGCAAAACUCUUUUUGUGUGUGCGUUGGGACACAAAUCCAGAGUAGGAAUGUGAUGAACAAGUGCUCUGUCACUCAUUUGUAUCCCAGCCCUCUCAAGUUAUUUUUAAACUUAGUAAAAUGUUAGGUUCAUUCAACUUGCUAAGCAAACAGUGUUGGUACAAACCUAAAUGUGGAAGAUAUUUUAUUGGUUGUGUAGAGGGUAACUUUCUUUCUUCUCUCUCUCUCUUUGAAGUAGUAUUUCAAAAUAAUUAAUUUUUUAUUUGAACCCAAUUAAGCAUAUUAUCAAGGAUUAUAGCAAUUGUUUUAAAUGGAUAAGUAAAAAAGAAGGUGCAUUCCAGGGACUGUGAGCAAAGAACUUGGAUCCUUGACAGUUCUCCACCUGCCCUGUGGUUAACAUUGUUGCUGAACAUUUACUACAACACGUAACUAGGGUGAUAAUUAAUCUUUUUUGAGAAAAGAUUUAUUUUCAUUAUUUUUUCAGUUAUGUGUGUCUAUGCAUGGGUAUGAGCACAUGAGUGGACGUGGCCACAGAGGCAAGAAGUGUCAGAUCCCCUGGAGCUGGAGUUAGAGGUGGUUUGUAAGCCAUCUAAUGAGGGGGCUAGGAACCGAACUCAGGACCUCUGCAAGAGCAGCUCAUGCUCUCAGACUCUGAGUUAGCUCUCCAGCUCUUAAUCACUUUCUUAAAAAAAUAACAUUUUAUUAAUUGUUUGUGAAAUUAACAUACUUUUAUCAUAAUCUCCUUCCAGACUCUCCCUCCCCUCCUCCUCUCCCCACCCACUCAACUCUUUCUGUCAUUUCUCUCUCCAAACCAUGGAGUCCGAUUUAUGUCACCCAAACUCUCCUGGGUGUGAAGCCUGCCCUGAGCACAGUCACACCCUUAAAACAAAGUAAAAUUAUUCUCCAUGAAUCAUCCACCUUUCAAAGCAUCAAAUUUAUCUCCCUUUUUCCUGUAAAAGAAAGGUUAAGCCUAGCUUUUACUUCCUAAAACAAAGGGCCCUGUAAUUAAGUAUUUGCAAUCAGAUUUCUAGGUUGGCAGUCUGAAAACACGCAGGCUGCAGCUGGCCAGCUGUGGCAAAAGCCGAUUUUUUCUUCUUCAGUGGUCAAGUUGAUUUUCAAAAGGGAAUUACCAUGCAAAUUAGCCUUACCACAGUGUCGCUGUACCUAACAGUUUAGUCUGUGUGUAGCGCACGGCCCAUCUUCAGAGCAUUCUAUGCUGAGAAGCCACUGAUAACACCUCUCUUGAAUUGGAGAUGCUGUGUGUUUGAAUUUCUUAUUUGUGAAGAUGGAAGGUUACUUAACUGCAAAAUUACCAAGAUUUUUAAAAAACUGUAUUUUGAGAAGGAGGGUCUCAUUAUGUGCCAGCUGGCCUAGAAUUAGUGUAUUUCUCCCUGAGCCUUCCAAAGGCUGGUCACAGGUAUGUGUCACUACACCAGACUAAAAUGACCUUUUAAAACUUUUAUAAGCAAUGUUUAGAUAUCCUGUGUUGGCUUAGGAAUACUCAGGAAAUUCAUCUGAUAUGGGGAUAUCAAGUGUCCCAAAGUGAGUUUUGAGAAAACAGAGUGCUAGUCUGGACACAUUCAUGAAUUUUGAUGAGUCUAAACAUUUUACUUGUUUGUUUUCUAUUUUUCAGGCUGAGAGAUGAUUGUUGUAUGUGAUUUUGUUUUUUAAUGUAAACUCAGAUCUAAGAAGGACCUAGCUGGGACAAGAUAACAUCACCCAUACUCUACUCUGCUCCCCUUGUCCUUAAGUGUGGCCUGCCACCAGGACAACUGUGUAAGGCACAAAGGAGAAAUGCUGGUGGAGGAUGUCAGAUUUUCUGUAGAAAUGUCAUUCCAGGAAAUGUAUUUUUUUUUUUAACAAUGGGAUGCUAUGAGUGUAUUAGAAGUUGCUAUGGCAGAGUAUCCUGUUCUGAUUAUGAUGCUAUGGAAUGGGACAACAGAGCAGAGCAGAGGUGGGAAGAGGUAGGCUUUCUUCUUCCCAGUGAAGUCUGCAGUGGGUCAUGAGACUGCUGAAGCCUGUUGACAUGCAAGCGUGUGGCGUUGCAGGCCGUCACGUAGCCUUGCCAUUGUCGCCGCCGCUGCCGCCAUCAUCUGUCACCAUCACUGCCAGGACUUUCUCACUUCCCAGGGCACAGACUCCUCACUCUUCUCUCCUAGGCGCUGGCACUCCCGCUCUUUUUUUCCAUCUCUGUGAGUUCCAUGUUUCUAUGGAGCGUGUGCUUGAUGUGGUGACUCUUCCGUAUCGCUGCCCGGCUUCCGUAGUGUGCAGAUUCGUUUGGACACAUAGACGUUCAGUUUGUAUUUUCCUAGGAGUAGACUUGCUGGGCCACGGGAAAGCUCUAACUUAUGGAAGAAGAUAAUGUAAUGGGUCUUCUGCUUUGCCCAGGGAAGAGAGAUUCACAGGGGCAAAUCUAGAGGGAUUAUCCAACAUGACCAGGAAUGUUAAAUGAA